rnacentral:rRNA from 1 species
CUGCAUGGCUGUCGUCAGCUCGUGUCGUGAGAUGUUGGGUUAAGUCCCGCAACGAGCGCAACCCUUGUCCCUAGUUGCUACGCAAGAGCACUCCAGGGAGACUGCCGGUGGCAAACCGGAGGAAGGUGGGGAUGACGUCAAGUCCUCAUGGCCCUUAUGGGUAGGGCAUCACACGUCAUACAAUGGUCGGAACAGAGGGUCGACAACCCGCGAGGGGGAGCCAAUCCCAGAAAACCGAUCGUAGUCCGGAUCGCACUCUGCAACUCGAGUGCGUGAAGCUGGAAUCGCUAGUAAUCGCGGAUCAGCAUGCCGCGGUGAAUACGUU